GGCUCCAUAGCCAAGUGGUAAGGCAACGGUCUGCAACACCGUGAUCACCAGUUCGAAUCUGGUUGGAGCCUCCA
rnacentral:tRNA from 1 species